UUUUACCCGGAGAAAACUCUUGAAGUGGAGUUGAACGAGGGCUCCAGUAGCAACGCCUUCAAGAAGGUGAACGGCGCCCAAGGGCGUCGCCGUUGCUAGCACCGAGAGCGGAGCAAGACUUUCGCCUUGAAGCAGCCAUCAACCAUAGCAUCCACGACGGGAGCCACCAAAUGUCACCUGCACACCGAGGGUACCUGCAAUAUGCACACCACCUGCACGACAGCCGGAUGCCAAACCACCCCAUCCCCACUCGAGGAUGCGCCGGAUCUGGGCAAGGGAGCCAGAUCCGGCCGUCCCCCUCACCACCAACGCCGGCCGACGCCUAGAGGGGCGCCGGAGGACGCCAGUGGCCGCCGCGGGGUGCCUGCGUGCUCACGCCACCGCCGGGCGCCGCGCCGCCGCCGGAUCCGCGGCCUCCACCACCGCCGUCCCAAUGCCGUCGCCACCCACAUCACCACCCGGCGCACUCACCUCAGCCGCCACCGUCGCCCGUCCCCGCCGCCGUCAUCGACCCCGCCGCUGCCGCCGCCGACCCCACCGCCGACCCCGCCACCAGCCCAUCCCCGGGCGGCUCCCCAGGCCGUCCAAGCGCGAGGAGACGAGGAGCGCCCUGCCGCCGCCGUCCUUGCGGCCGCGCGGCCUCGCCGGCGGCCGCUCCGGCGACAGCGAGGCGGAGAAGGGGGGUGGGGUGGGGGGAAGAGGGGUGGCCGGGUCGCCUCCCGAGCCGCCCCUGGGGAGAGCCGACUCUGGGGGAGAUCUCUUGUAUUUAUCUCCAUCUGCUGUAAAAAGAUAUCCAUUUGCUGAUAUCCUCUCUGGUUCACAGAAAAUAGAAAUGUCCUUGGUGGUUGGUGCUCUUUGGCCUCCUAUAUAUACGCACUCUACACAAGCAAAUUCCUUCAUGCAAACCAAAAAUAGUAGCCAAAAAUGCGCAUUCGAUGAGAUGAAUGCGCGCCUCUAAAUUUGGUUCAGCAUAUAUAAACCUUUCUCUUCGAUGCCAUUUUUAAACAAUUCCAUGCCUUGUUUCCAUUUCUAAAAGAGAAACGAAACAGUUUCCCUUCUUUUUUCCCCUUCUGGUUGGUUCUCCCUUAGUUGAUGCCAAACCAUAACUUCUUUCCAACUUUAACAAUAAACUCCUCCACGCCUUAUUUUCCGAUAAAUGUUUCACCUUACUUGUCCUAUAAAUUGGCAUGCCAACCUACCCUAAGAUUCUUUCUAAAUCUUAUAGCAACCGGCAUAUAGGUUUCGGCAUGGUUUGCAAGGUUACCUCCAUAUUUUCGUCUAUCUUAAUUUAUUCACUCCUCACCGUGUCUUGCGAUGCAGAUAAUGCCCCGGACACAACCUGCGAAAGUCCUCAAGCCUGUGCUAAUCAGUGUGUUGCCAAUGGCUACCUGAUCGGAUUCUGCGAGAUCUUUACUUUGGGACUUGGGGAUUGCGUGUGCGUGAAAUGCCCAAAUGCCCAGAUGAUGCAUGCUGACCAUCUUCCAUUGCAGAGUCGCUUCCAAUAGAGCAAAUACUACUAAAAACUUAUUGAUUGUGCACCUUACGGCAGUGCUAGGGGAUGUAAAAUAUUUCCAUCAUUUAAAAGAAACAGAGCGAUCACUUUUCGUAUAUGCGUAUAUGAUGAACACCACCAUAAAUGGGAAUAAACUGGUGAUUGUUGAUAGCUGAGUUUUGGUAAAUCAAGUGUUGAGAAGUAAUGGAUAUGUAAAUAAAGCAGCUUGGAAAAUCAGCAGUGUGCAACUUCGGCAGAAGAAAUGCUUUUGGUGGUUUGAGCUCCGAGAAUCAGAUUGCUCAAACUGAUCAGUGAGGAUUAUAUGUUUUUUUUUUCUCAGGAUGAUUGCGCCUCACAUUUCAGUUCAUUUCAGGUCACUGUUGAUUCUGCCAUGGAGGCCAAAAUUGGAGCCACAGCCAUGGUCCUGCUCCUCCUGGCCUUUGGUGUUGUUGGUGAGGCCAAGACACAUGAAUACCGCAGCCAUACCUUCAAAGGCGUCUGCAUCCACGACGAUCUCUGGAAGUACUGCGUCAGGGUGAGAUCUAGGUACGAUGGAUCAUCACCGGUGAGAUCCUGAUGGUCGAUUGGUCACUGAAGACGCCGGCAGAAGGAGAUAUAACUAUGUACUCCCUCCGUCCCAUAAUAUAAGGGAUUUUGACUUUUUGCUUGCAUUAUUUGACCACUCGUCUUAUUUAAAAAAUUUGUACAAAUAUAAAAAACGAAAAGUUGUACUUAAAGUACUUUAGAUAAUAAAGUAAGUCACAAAUAGAAUAAA